ACCGGCGGGGGCAGCGCCCCGCUGUUAUCUAAGCAGAGGUCGGGAAGGUGGAGAGCUGUAACUGCCGGAUCGAGUGGGAUGCGCCAGAAACAUGGGGAGGUGAUCCGCCCCGGCGACCCCGCAGCCGGCAGAGGCGAUCCCACGGAGGUGGGGACGUCUCAGCUGAUAAUGAGGCGCGGAACGCCUAAGGCUGGAAACAGAGCAGGGAAAAGCGCUCGCUGUGGUGCAGUGACGGGAUCACGGAACUGCCCCUCUGGUGGCAGCUCCCCGAGAUGGCCACUCCACACCUUCCUUU
rnacentral:SRP_RNA from 1 species